rnacentral:snoRNA from 1 species
AUUCUUUGGUAGUUCAUAGCAUGUUUGUUGGGUUUUCAAGUGGUUCUGUGAGAUGUGCCUCACAUAAACCUUGUUACAGCACAUUACCCGUCUAGCG